rnacentral:rRNA from 1 species
UUAAUUGAAGAGUUUGAUCAUGGCUCAGAUUGAACGCUGGCGGCAGGCCUAACACAUGCAAGUCGAGCGGUAGCACAAGAGAGCUUGCUCUCUGGGUGACGAGCGGCGGACGGGUGAGUAAUGUCUGGGAAACUGCCUGAUGGAGGGGGAUAACUACUGGAAACGGUAGCUAAUACCGCAUGACGUCUUCGGACCAAAGUGGGGGACCUUCGGGCCUCACGCCAUCAGAUGUGCCCAGAUGGGAUUAGCUAGUAGGUGGGGUAAUGGCUCACCUAGGCGACGAUCUCUAGCUGGUCUGAGAGGAUGACCAGCCACACUGGAACUGAGACACGGUCCAGACUCCUACGGGAGGCAGCAGUGGGGAAUAUUGCACAAUGGGCGCAAGCCUGAUGCAGCCAUGCCGCGUGUAUGAAGAAGGCCUUCGGGUUGUAAAGUACUUUCAGCGAGGAGGAAGGCAUUGUGGU